rnacentral:rRNA from 1 species
GACGAACGCUGGCGGCGUGCUUAACACAUGCAAGUCGAACGGAAAGGCCCUGCUUUUGUGGGGUGCUCGAGUGGCGAACGGGUGAGUAACACGUGAGUAUCCUGCCCUUGACUGUGUGAUAACUUCAGGAAACUGGGGCUAAUACCGGCUAGGAGCUCCUGCUGCAUGGGGGGGGUUGGAAAGUUUCGGCGGUUGGGGAUGGACUGGCGGCUUAUCAGCUUGUUGGUGGGGUAGUUGCUUACCAGGGCUUUGACGGGUAGCCGGCCUGAGAGGGGGACCGGCCACAAUGGGACUGAGAUACGGCCCAGACUCCUACGGGAGGCAGCAGUGGGGAAUAUUGCACAAUGGGCGGAAGCCUGAUGCAGCAACGCCGCGUGCGGGAUGACGGCCUUCGGGUUGUAAACCGCUUUCGCCUGUGACGAAGCGUGAGUGACGGUAAUGGGUAAAGAAGCACCGGCUAACUACGUG